CGACAAAACAUUUUUUUUUUUUUAAAGUGAGAGCAGUUCUUACCCUCUCUCCAUCCUCUCCGGGUGCACCAGGUGGCCCAUGGGGUCCUGCUUCACCCUGGAACCAAUCACAAUAGUGUCAGGAAAACAAACAUUUUCAUGGUGGGGGAAGCAAUCAGUCACUCACUCUGUGUCCUUUUUCGCCAGGAAGUCCAGCCAGACCGUCGAAGCCGCGAUCUCCCUGAAAACAAAAAGAGGUUACAGCACUUUGAGGUUUUGGGAUUGUUGCAUUUCAACCCAUGUCCAAACGGGGGUCCACGUACCUUGGGUCCAGAUUGACCUGGCAUCCCUCUGGCACCGUCAGCUCCGGCACGUCCCUGUCAAGGCAGCAUCAGGACUGUGCCAGCGGGUCCAGGUAGACCAUCAGCACCAGGAAGACCGGGACGACCUGGAAGACCCUGAUGGGCGGCGGAAGCGAGACAAGCCACCAGACCCGUACUUAUAUAUGGACGUUUGUCCCACUGACCACGACAUCCACUUGAGAAACCAAACCACAAACCAACGCUACUUUCGGGUAAGUAGCACUGCUUCACAACUGCGUGACCACCGCUGAGUCGGCAUGUACUACAUUCACAGCAAUUGCUAGAGAAUUUAUGCACAGAACAUGCUGACAGAGCAAAUAUUUC